rnacentral:rRNA from 1 species
AAACUUUUAACAACGGAUCUCUUGGCUCUCGCAUCGAUGAAGAACGCAGCGAAAUGCGAUAAGUAAUGUGAAUUGCAGAAUUCAGUGAAUCAUCGAAUCUUUGAACGCACCUUGCGCCUUUUGGUAUUCCGAAAGGCAUGCCUGUGUCAGUGUCAUG